rnacentral:tRNA from 1 species
CAUUAAGAAGCUAUAUAGCAUUAACCUUUUAAGUUAAAGACUGAGAGUACUCCGACCUCUCCUUAAUGA